rnacentral:rRNA from 1 species
CCUACNGGAUGCACCAGUGGGGAAUUUUGGACAAUGGGCGCAAGCCUGAUCCAGCAAUGCCGCGUGAGUGAGGAAGGCCUUCGGGUUGUAAAGCUCUUUUGUCAGGGANGAAACGGUAGAGGCUAAUAUCCUUUGCUAAUGACGGUACCUGAAGAAUAAGCACCGGCUAACUACGUGCCAGCAGCCGCGGUAAUACGUAGGGUGCAAGCGUUAAUCGGAAUUACUGGGCGUAAAGCGUGCGCAGGCGGUUUUGUAAGUCUGUCGUGAAAGCCCCGGGCUCAACCUGGGAAUUGCGAUGGAGACUGCAAGGCUUGAAUCUGGCAGAGGGGGGUAGAAUUCCACGUGUAGCAGUGAAAUGCGUAGAGAUGUGGAGGAACACCGAUGGCGAAGGCAGCCCCCUGGGUCAAGAUUGACGCUCAUGCACGAAAGCGUGGGGAGCAAACAGGAUUAGAUACCCCCGUAGUC